rnacentral:rRNA from 1 species
AUUGAACGCUGGCGGCAGGCCUAACACAUGCAAGUCGAGCGAGCGGCGGACGGGUGAGGAAUGUAUGGGAAACUGCCUGAUGGAGGGGGAUAACUACUGGAAACGGUAGCUAAUACCGCAUACCAUCAGAUGUGCCCAGGUGGGAUUAGCUAGUAGGUGGGGUAACGGCUCACCUAGGCGACGAUCCCUAGCUGGUCGGAGAGGAUGACCAGCCACACUGGAACUGAGACACGGUCCAGACUCCUACGGGAGGCAGCAGUGGGGAAUAUUGGACAAUGGGCGCAAGCCUGAUGCAGCCAUGCCGCGUGAGUGAAGAAGGCCUUCGGGUUGUAAAGCACUUUUGGCGGGGAAGCGUUACCCGCAGAAGAAGCACCGGCUAACUCCGUGCCAGCAGCCGCGGUAAUAC